ensembl:lncRNA
AUACAAUUUAUUAGGAAAAGGAUAAAAACCCCAAAAUACAUGCAAUAAUACAGAAGAAAAACCACCGACAGAGUCAGAAUGCAACCUGAUACCCUGUUGGUCAGGGUGUUGGUAGCAGUCCAAAUUGGAGUGGCUGCAGUCUCCUGGAGUGGCAGGUGUGGUUCUGUUGGAGCAGUGGUCCUGUAGAAGGGUGUAGUCUUCCUCUGAAGAUCCAGUCAAAAGACUCAGCUGUUCCUCUGGGAAUCCUGUGGAAAGGCUGAGUCUGGUGUGCCAAAAACUCAGAUUAUAUCCAGUUAGGAAUGCUUGGCUCCUCCCUCUGGGUGUAGCAUCCCACAGUGGGCUGCUGUAACUUUUAUCAGUCAGGCAGUGACAUUCCAUAGGCCUUUAACAGCAGAUGUCUCCCCGGAGGGAGGAUUGGCUUUAACAUAAAACUUUAUGGACCGGGAGCAGGCUGGCUGGAGAAAGCAGGAGCAAGCUCUGGGCAUGAGCUCUGUGGAUGUGAAGCUUCUAGACUGAAUGUGAACACCUGGAAAACUGUAGGAAACAUGUUACACACCAUAGCUGGUAUAAAAUUACAAUAAACAAAAGGAAAGGAGCCUAGGUAUGCCACUGCAGUCUGCCAUGGGGCUGUGCCCUGGAUACACAGGGCUCUGCAGGAAAACAGGCUCCCUCUCACCCAUCGGUUUGCAGUCUCACAGCUGGAGAAACUCUGAGAAACUCCGAGGCCACAUUCUCCCUCUGUGUCUCCCAGGAUUCAGGGUCAUUGGAUUCUCUUGCCUGAGGAACCGUGGCUGUUCAACAGGCAAAUUGCCUCAUGGACAUUUUCCAGCCCAUUUUCUCAAACACUCAGCUCAAAGGCUGAGCUGAUCUCCUGCAUAUUUAAAGGGCUGGGCAGUGAUUGAAGAGGGCAGCAAUUACUCUAUAUGUCAUUCUGAAGGCUAAAUGGCUCAAUAUGCUGUGUUUAAGGUUAAUCCAGAGUGCAUCAUCCCAUAGAAAGAGCAGUAAAGGCAGUUUGGAAGGCCAGCAGCUGCAGGAGGUGACUUAGGAGCAAUCUGAGCUUGGGGUGUCGCACUCAUCUGGCCCGUGGCUGUUCCAAGGAGUUGGCAGGGAUGGCUGCAUUAUUAGAGAAUAUUCCGUGUGUGGAGGGGAGAGUGAGGGACCAGUCCUGGUGCAGCAAUUAUGUUAAAGCUUUAGGAGAGGCCUCCAAACAGCACAGCUGCUCUGGCAAUUCUGCUCAGACGAUGAAAGAACAUUUGAAGUCUGACAACUCCAUUUUCCUCUGCAAACACAAGUACCAGAGGAAAUACCAGCUGGGCAGGCUGGAUACUUGAGGAGUGGGAAGGGUUUUUGAAAGGACAGCAGUGUCUGCAGACUGAAGCACUGAUAGUUCUGCUGUGUCUGUGCAAAGUCUCUGCAUGAGCUUUGAUAAAUCACUUGGGAUUCCAAGGCCUGAGGCCUCUGGGAAAUGAGUUACAAAGUGCUGAAAUCCUGAUCUCCCUCUUCUCCGGUGGCCAGGGGAGAGAUCCAGCUGUUUCCAACAUAGGAUCCAAACUGCCCAUGUUCAGAGAAGGGCUCUAAGCCCUCCUGGGAUGGCAGCUGCAAUAAAUUAUGGUCAUGAACUCCACAUUCCUCUUGCUUUUGGUAGAGUAAGAAUCAGACAGAUCUCUCUAAAGUGCAUCCAACGGUGUAUUUUUUAAAAUUUGCAGAUAAGGGAAAAACAAACUUAAAUUUAGUGGUAUGGCUUUAAUCAGCUGAGUGAAUAAUGCAGUCAGGGUGGAAGUUUUAUCUGGGAAGGGAAUGACCUGAUGUUCAGCUGGGAAUCUUUAGGAAUUCUGUGGAAACAGUACCAUCUUGUACAUGGGUUUGGUGGCCACUUUGGAAAUAACUCCAUUAUAACCAUGAU